GCGCAAUUGGUCUAGUGGUAUGAUUCUCGCUGUAUGUAACAAAGCCUUUCAAUUCAUCCCUUCAUUCGUACUAACAUUAAACAGUAGGGACAACUCUAAGUCUAAGAAAAUGCGAGAGGUCCCAGGUUCGAUCCCUGGAUUGCGCC